rnacentral:lncRNA from 1 species
AAUGCCCCAGAAAUAGCAUAUACAUUGCGCCCUAAGUCCAGUCUCGCCCAGGUGUGGCAGGAGCUUUUACCUGCUCUUCGGCAGUAGCCGGCUGCCACUCAACCCCAUGCCUGGUGAGUGGAAAGCCAUCAACCUUUUAUUUAGUCCCUCUCUCGUUGUCGCCUGGGGAGGGGCGACUUUGUACAGUGAGGCACUGGGGUCCGGCACCAUAGUGGGAGUUGGGGUUGUUUACGCGACACUUCUAAGGGGAUUUUCACAAUCGGUUAAGCCCCCGUUAAUCCUCACAUGGUUAUUGCGGCGACCCCCAUAGCCCACGGUCCCAAACGUGUGCAUCUGAAUCAUCCGAAGCUCUUUCUAAAGGCAGGCUCCCCUGGCCGCCUCUCCUAAUCCGACUCGGUACUUCACGGGGCGUGCCUAGAAUCUGCAUUUUAGCAAGGGCCUCGCGUGGACAGAAUUGCACGCUUGAGUUUGAGAAGUACUGCUUGGCCUCUGCCCCACUUACCCUUACCUUCUUGAGAUGAGGUAAAGCACUUGGUAGGCACUAGGCGGGUAGGUUUAUCUUUGCUCCCAAGUCUCUUCCGAGAACUUGGGAAGGCUGCCUAGCUUAGUGAGGGAAUCCAUUCUGGCUUCAGACCAGUCUGGGUUUGAAACCUACACAUCCCACUAACUUAGGCAGGGUACCGAAACUCCCUGAGCUUCAUGUCCUCAUCAGUAAAACGAGGUUAAUCACACCUACACCUUAGCGCGAUGGCUUAAAAAAAAAAAAAAAAAAAACAAACAAAAAAAAACAUAGUCCAUCAAGAGAAAUACAUUUUGCAUACAGACCAGUACACUGCUAUUUGUAUGAGAGUGUCAUAAAGUUUCCGAAAACAAUGCUUACUACUUGUGACGCACUGAUAGUUUCUAUGCUUAUCCUAUCCUAUCUUAUUCUCCUUCUUGUUGAUCAUGACUGGCAGUUUGAAAAACACUGCUAGAAAAGACUGAGCUGUGGUAGAAGGAUUGAGGCCAGCACAGAGGAGGAUCAGCAGGAAAUGUAAGGGUUGUCCUCAUCUAAUCCGUCAGUACCAGACAGUGAACAUCUCUCCCCCAGGAUGCUGAGGGAGGGUCCUGGAGGGAAGGAUGUGGAACUACAGCCUCUGCUCUCAAGAAGCUCAGAUCUGGGCAGGGAACAUCACAUACCAGGGCUGUCUGUCGGGGGGGUGGAGGGCUGGGGGAGGGAUAGCAUUAGGGGAAAUACCUAAUGUAAAUGACAAGUUGAUGGGUGCAGCAAACCAACAUGGCACAUGUAUACCUAUGUAACAAAUCUGCAUGUUGUGCACGUGUACCCUAGAACUUAAAGUAUAAUUAAAAAAAAAAAAAGCUUCAGAUCCCUCCUGGAGCCUCCUAUGAA